GUGAAUCAAAUAGAUGAUCUCCAGCUGAAGAACAGAAAGAAAAGCUUUCUCUCUCUUAAGAGACCAUUCCUAGUCUUCAAUGGGAAUAAUAAGAACUCGGUCAGAAACAAGACUAGAAGAUUUCUAACUUCUGCAUUUGAUCGAGGUCCAAAGUGGCAAAGCUGCAGGAGUAUGUACAGAGCAAACAAGACAAUAUUAGAUUAGAUAUUACUUAGAACUAAUUUAUAUAGUCUUUUGCUUGUAGUGUUGGCUAGCAUAGCUGUACAUAUCUGACAGUCCCUGUCUUUCAGAAGGGUUUAGCAUGUCAGAUAAGCUGUGAAAUCUAGGAAAGCUUUCUUCUAUAAUCCCCAACAGAAUGAACCAUUAACAGCAGUUGUAUGCAAUUUCCCCCUAAAAUGAAACCUAAUUGAUUUCAGACAUAUUUUAAAAUUUCUCUGGUCUGCAAUACCAUCGAGUUACCAUUGCUAUAUGGAGCAAUCAGUUCUGGGUUUAAGUAGCCUCUUGCCAAGAGGACUAAAACCAACUACAGAAAAAUAAAAAACAGGAAAACAUUUUGCAGUGAGAUCAGAUAC
rnacentral:lncRNA from 1 species